rnacentral:rRNA from 1 species
AUUGAACGCUGGCGGUAGGCCUAACACAUGCAAGUCGAACGAGUGGCGGACGGGUGAGUAAUGUCUGGGAAACUGCCUGAUGGAGGGGGAUAACUACUGGAAACGGUAGCUAAUACCGCAUAACCUCAGAUGUGUCCAGAGGGGACUAGCCAGUUGGUGGGGUAACGGCUCACCAAGGCGCUGACCCAUAGCGGGUCUGAGAGGAUGCACAGCCACACUGGGACUGAGACACGGUCCAGACGCCUACGGGAGGCAGCAGUGGGGAAUAUUGCACAAUGGGCGCAAGCCUGAUGCAGCCAUGCCGCGUGUAUGAAGAAGGCCCUCGGGUUGUAAAGUACUUUCAGCGGGGAGGCGUUACCCGCAGAAGAAGCACCGGCUAACACCGUGCCAGCAGCCGCGGUAAUUU